rnacentral:piRNA from 1 species
UACCCCAAUCCGGUAUGACCGCAUGU